UCCUACGGGGGGCAGCAGUGAGGAAUAUUGGUCAAUGGCCGAGAGGCUGAACCAGCCAAGUCGCGUGAGGGAUGACGGCCCUACGGGUUGUAAACCUCUUUUGUCGGGGAGCAAGACCCGCCUCGUGCAGGCGGAGCGAGAGUACCCGAAGAAAAAGCAUCGGCUAACUCCGUGCCAGCAGCCGCGGUAAUACGGAGGAUGCGAGCGUUAUCCGGAUUUAUUGGGUUUAAAGGGUGCGCAGGCGGACCAUCAAGUCAGCGGGAAAAUCGUGGGGCCCAACCCAAUCCCCCCGUUGAA
rnacentral:rRNA from 1 species